rnacentral:rRNA from 1 species
AGUGAACGCUGGCGGUAGGCCUAACACAUGCAAGUCGAACGGCAGCACAGUAAGAGCUUGCUCUUACGGGUGGCGAGUGGCGGACGGGUGAGGAAUACAUCGGAAUCUACUUUUUCGUGGGGGAUAACGUAGGGAAACUUACGCUAAUACCGCAUACGACCUACGGGUGAAAGCAGGGGAUCUUCGGACCUUGCGCGAUUGAAUGAGCCGAUGUCGGAUUAGCUAGUUGGCGGGGUAAAGGCCCACCAAGGCGACGAUCCGUAGCUGGUCUGAGAGGAUGAUCAGCCACACUGGAACUGAGACACGGUCCAGACUCCUACGGGAGGCAGCAGUGGGGAAUAUUGGACAAUGGGCGCAAGCCUGAUCCAGCCAUACCGCGUGUGUGAAGAAGGCCUUCGGGUUGUAAAGACCUUUUGUUGGGAAAGAAAAGCAGCAGGUUAAUACCCCGCUGUUCUGACGGUACCCAAAGAAUAAGCACCGGCUAACUUCGUG